rnacentral:rRNA from 1 species
AGAGUUUGAUCCUGGCUCAGGAUGAACGCUGGCGGCAUGCCUAAUACAUGCAAGUCGAACGAGAGGAAGGAAAGCUUGCUUUUCUGAAUCUAGUGGCGAACGGGUGAGUAACACGUAGGUAACCUGCCCAUGUGCCCGGGAUAACUUCUGGAAACGGAUGCUAAAACCGGAUAGGUAGCAGACAAGCAUUUGACUGCUAUUAAAGUGGCCUUGGCCAUGAACAUGGAUGGACCUGCGGUGCAUUAGCUGGUUGGUGAGGUAACGGCCCACCAAGGCGACGAUGCAUAGCCGGCCUGAGAGGGCGGACGGCCACAUUGGGACUGAGACACGGCCCAAACUCCUACGGGAGGCAGCAGUAGGGAAUUUUCGUCAAUGGGGGGAACCCUGAACGAGCAAUGCCGCGUGAGUGAGGAAGGUCUUCGGAUCGUAAAGCUCUGUUGUAAGAGAAAAACGGCACUCAUAGGGAAUGAUGAGUGAGUGAUGGUAUCUUACCAGAAAGUCACGGCUAACUACGUGCCAGCAGCCGCGGUAAUACGUAGGUGGCGAGCGUUAUCCGGAAUCAUUGGGCGUAAAGAGGGAGCAGGCGGCCGCAAGGGUCUGUGGUGAAAGACCGAAGCUAAACUUCGGUAAGCCAUGGAAACCGGGCGGCUAGAGUGCGGAAGAGGAUCGUGGAAUUCCAUGUGUAGCGGUGAAAUGCGUAGAUAUAUGGAGGAACACCAGUGGCGAAGGCGACGGUCUGGGCCGCAACUGACGCUCAUUCCCGAAAGCGUGGGGAGCAAAUAGGAUUAGAUACCCUAGUAGUCCACGCCGUAAACGAUGGUCACUAAGUGUCGGGGGUCAAACCCCGGUGCUGCAGUCAACGCAAUAAGUGACCCGCCUGAGUAGUACGUUCGCAAGAAUGAAACUCAAAGGAAUUGACGGGGGCCCGCACAAGCGGUGGAGCAUGUGGUUUAAUUCGAAGCAACGCGAAGAACCUUACCAAGUCUUGACAUCCCGGUGACAAAGUAUGUAAUGUACUCUUUCUUCGGAACACCGGUGACAGGUGGUGCAUGGUUGUCGUCAGCUCGUGUCGUGAGAUGUUGGGUUAAGUC